CUAGUUUAUACUAAGUGACCCACAGGUUGAGGAGGCGGUGGAGGAGGAUGAGGUAGCCAACACUGUUUAUAUAUAUUUUAAUUGGGGUAGCCCCCAAAAUAUUGGAACAUAUAAUAAAAGACAACUCUGUUCCGCAGAGUAGCUGUUGACAUUAUAGUUGCGCAGGAACUUUGUUGAUUCUAGAGAACCUCGGGCAAAUCGCACAUCCCCGUAGUGGCGACUUUGCAUGCGGAUGUCAUCCAUAUCAACUUUCGAUGCCAGUUUAUGCGCCUACCAUGGUGACCACGGGUAACGGGGAAUCAGGAUUCCAUUCCAUACAGGGACCCUGAGAAACAGCUACCACAUGCAAGGAAGGCAG
rnacentral:rRNA from 1 species